GUUUCCAUAGUGUAGUGGUUAUCACGUUAAGCCUCCUUCUGAAAGGUCCUCAGUUCGAAACUGGGUGGAAACA
rnacentral:tRNA from 1 species